AAGAUUUUGUAAUGCUAAUGCUGGAGUUAAUGUCGACGUCGUCGACGGCGUCAAAUGUCGACGGCGUUGACAUUAACUCCAGCAUUAGCAUUACAA
rnacentral:pre_miRNA from 1 species